rnacentral:rRNA from 1 species
CCUAGUAACUGCGAGUGAAGCGGGAAAAGCUCAAAUUUAAAAUCUGGCAGUCUUUUGGCUGUCCGAGUUGUAAUCUAGAGAAGUGCUAUCCGCGCUGGACCGUGUACAAGUCUCCUGGAAUGGAGCGUCAUAGAGGGUGAGAAUCCCGUCUUUGACACGGACUGCCAGGGCUUUUGUGAUGCGCUCUCAAAGAGUCGAGUUGUUUGGGAAUGCAGCUCUAAAUGGGUGGUAAAUUCCAUCUAAAGCUAAAUAUUGGCGAGAGACCGAUAGCGAACAAGUACCGUGAGGGAAAGAUGAAAAGAACUUUGGAAAGAGAGUUAAACAGUACGUGAAAUUGUUGAAAGGGAAACGCUUGAAGUCAGUCGCAUUGGUCAGGAAUCAACCUUGCUCUUUUGCUUGGUGUACUUUCUGGUUGAUGGGUCAGCAUCAAUUUUGACCGGUGGAAAAAGGUCAAGGGAAUGUGGCAUCUCUGGAUGUGUUAUAGCCCUUGGUCAUAUACAUCGGUUGGGAUUGAGGAACUCAGCACGCCGCAAGGCCGGGUUUUUAACCACGUCUGUGCUUAGGAUGCUGGCAUAAUGGCUUUAAUCGACCCGUCUUGAAACACGGACCAAGGAGUCUAACAUGCCUGCGAGUAUUUGGGUGGAAAACCCAUGUGCGUAAUGAAAGUGAAGAUCAGGAUCUCUGUCGUGGAGAGCACUGAUGCCCGGACCAGACCUUUUGUGACGGAUCUGCGGUAGAGCAUGCAUGUUGGGACCCGAAAGAUGGUGAACUAUGCCUGAAUAGGGUGAAGCCAGAGGAAACUCUGGUGGAGGCUCGUAGCGAUUCUGACGUGCAAAUCGAUCGUCAAAUUUGGGUAUAGGGG